GACAGCAGUCGCCGCGGUAAUACGUAGGUCCCGAGCGUUGUCCGGAUUUAUUGGGCGUAAAGCGAGCGCAGGCGGUUAGAUAAGUCUGAAGUUAAAGGCUGUGGCUUAACCAUAGUACGCUUUGGAAACUGUUUAACUUGAGUGCAAGAGGGGAGAGUGGAAUUCCAUGUGUAGCGGUGAAAUGCGUAGAUAUAUGGAGGGACACCGGUGGCGAAAGCGGCUCUCUGGCUUGUAACUGACGCUGAGGCUCGAAAGCGUGGGGAGCAAACAGGAUUAGAUACCCGUGUAGUCCCUGUCUCUUAUACC
rnacentral:rRNA from 1 species